rnacentral:rRNA from 1 species
UGGGGAAUAUUCCGCAAUGGACGAAAGUCUGACGGAGCAAUGCCGCGUGAGUGAUGAAGGCCUUUGGGUCGUAAAACUCUGUCUUCGGGGAUGAAACCAUUAUGUGAUAAUACCGCAUAGUAUUGACAGUACCCGAGGAGGAAGCCCCGGCUAACUACGUGCCAGCAGCCGCGGUAAUACGUAGGGGGCGAGCGUUGUCCGGAAUCCUUGGGCGUAAAGGGCGUGUAGGCGGUUUUGUAAGUCAGAUGUGAAAACGUGAGGCUCAACUUCAAGCCUGCAGCUGAAACUACAUCACUUGAGGGCAGGAGAGGAAAGUGGAAUUCCAUGUGUAGCGGUGAAAUGCGUAGAUAUAUGGAAGAACACCAGUGGCGAAGGCGACUUUCUGGACUGAACCUGACGCUGAGGCGCGAAAGCCAGGGGAGCGAACG